rnacentral:lncRNA from 1 species
CGACUGCUCCCUGGUGGACAAAAGUUAUACAAUAACAAAAUUCCACUUGGAUUGUAAACUUCCUCAAUCCACAGAAACCACUGUAAACACUGUAGCGAGUUGCUAUCAGUUGCGUAAAUACUUAAAUAGGUUUUUAUUGGCACAGAUAAACUGGUCUCUGGUCACAUUUCUGAUUGUGUGCUAAUCCUAAAGUCAAUGAGGAGCUGAAACAAAGACUGCCCUCCCCAGUAAGGCACCAACGCUCAGAGACCACGCUGCCACAACUUGGAAGUGCUGACUUGGGAGCCAUUUUGGGCACAACAUCAAAUCAACUUGUACUAGAGGAACCUGACAAAGACUGGCCACAAGUCCCCCAGUAUUUUAGACCCAUAGAGGAAGAGAGUCGGACAUCCAGAUCUCCAUCACCCCAGGCCCACCACAGGAGAUCUCCAUCACCUCAGGCCCACCACAGGGCUCCAGACACAGGCAGGAGGAUGGAGGAGGAGAGGACCUCCAGCCGGAGCCCAUUCACCCAGGACGGCUACAGGUCAGAGGGUCACAGCCAGGGGUCGAACGGCAGUCCUCCAGUCUACAGAAGACACCUCGUCCCUCCAGACUCCAGCCAAGCUCUCCAAUCAAGUAUAAAAGAAGACCAAGGAAACAUUAAAGUUAGCAGUAGUUCCUUUGACUCCAAAAAGCAAAGCCUCGUCCUUGACAAAGAGAAGAAUAUUGCCUUCCUGCUGAAGGAGCUGGAUUCACUCAGAGAGCUCAAUAAGAAGGUAGGUUGAAAUGUUAAAGGAAUCUUGCCCUGCUAGAUACAGGUCCUAGCAAAAAUACAUGGCAUUUGUGGUUCCAGCUUUUUUUUUCACUCAAAUGUCCUUUGUCGUAACUUGUCCUCUUCCUCUUUAAAUAGAUGAUUGUGUUGUGUCUGUCACAGCUGCCAACUAUUGAGUGUCCACCUCUCUUGUCCACCUCUAUCUUACCUGCCAUGUCCAAAGCAUAUGACUAGCUGGUUAUCCUGUCCUGUCCUGUGUUUGGUCUGGAGCAUGCCCAGUGUCCCUCUGUGCACAGGCUGCCUUCUUGCAAAUGAGCGCCUGUUAGAGAGGGUGUAGCCACAGAGAGGCCCUCUGAAAUGGCUAUAAUUGAUGCCUCUGGUUUGCAAGUAGCUGUGAC